rnacentral:rRNA from 1 species
UCGUAGUUGGAUACGACUCGGCCUUCGGGCCAUGCACCUCAGCCGGCUGGCGACGGCUCCCGGGGCGUUACCCUCGAGAGCUGGCUAGCGGAUUGUAAUGUCACCUAGCGCGGGGAUAGAUCCUCUGCAGACGACUAAAGUGACCAAGCGGGUCGUGUAAGCGGUCAAGUAGCCUUGUUGCUACGAGUCGCUGAGCGUCACCCGACCUUGGCUAGAUUU